rnacentral:rRNA from 1 species
UCCAUUUGACGAUAUAAAUGGUCUGGCCUGCUCACUGAUAAAUAUAUUUAAGAGCCGCGGUAUUUUGACCGUGCAAAGGUAGCAUAAUCAUUAGGGGUUUAAUUGGAACCUGGUAUGAAGGGUUGGACAAAGGAAAAACUGUCUUUAGUGUUAUAAGUUGAAGUUUACCUUUAAGUGAAAAGGCUUAAAUAAAUCAAGGGGACGAUAAGACCCUAUAAAGCUUUAUAAAUUAUUUGAGUUUAAUUAAUUUAAAAUAUAAAAAUUAAAUUUAUUUUAUUUUAUUUUAUUGGGGCGAUAUGAGUAUAAUUUUUAUUAACUGCUUAAGGAAGAUACAGAUUUAGGUGAAUAUAAAAUUAAAUGAUCCUUUUUAAAGAUUAAAAGACUAAGUUACUUUAGGGAUAACAGCGUUAUUUCUUUUGAGAGUUCAUAUCGAAAAAGAAGAUUGCGACCUCGAUGUUGAAUUAAAAUAUCUAUAUAAUGCAGCCGUUAUAAAAGAGGGUCUGUUCGACCUUUAAAUUUUUACA